AUCAGAAGAAGCACCAAGGAAGCUCUCUUUCUUGUGGUGAAUAUUUAUCUGUAAACACUUUCCGAAGCGGGAAAUAACUGUUAUGAAGAAGAAGAAUAUCAGGACUAUCCAGACACUUAGGUGGAUCCUGACACUAGUAUUUGAGGCUAGACCGCCUCCCUUUUUGGGAACUACUAUGUUGUAGUUCAUCAACU